CGCAGCCCAGCUUGCCAAGCCCAGCACAGCUUCCUUCUCUCUCCUCGCGACUCUCGCAACCUAGCGAGAUAGCCACCGCCGUCCUCCUACGCACAGCCGCCUCAGCUGCCCAUCGUCUCCUCCUCACGCGGCGAAGUGAGGGAGGGCUGCUUCAUCUACCUACACCGCGACUUGCUCCUCACCCUCGCCUGCGCAGUUGGGAACACCUUUGUCACCGCCACCAUCGAGAUUGACACCAUCUUCGCCGUCGCGUGCCAAUGCGAGACCUUCAUGACCCCUCUCGAUCCUUGAUCUCCCUGUACCUAUACUCUUAUGUUCUUGCCCUGUUGAUCACAUACUCACAAGUUAGGGUUAAUCAGUUAAUCAAUUGCAUUAGUGUAUCAAUUAGGCUAGGGGAACCUACAAUCUGGUGAUGCUUCCUUAAUGGAUAUCUAUUUAACUGCAUAACAUCAUUUUGCAUGGGGUCUAGGACCAAACUUUCCAAAUGCUGAAUUUUGCGCUCAAUAUCAUGAUUCUAUUAGGAACCUGACCUGUUAACAUACACUGGACUGUGAUUGUGUAGAUCGAUACAAAGAUUGCUAAUCCUAAAACAUUUUAAUAUGUGCCUUUGUAUUUAAUCAGUUUCGCGUGACCUGUUCGAGAAUAAGCUAAUUAUUUUUUCAUUCCAAUCCGAAAUAUCCAUAGAGGCAGUAAGCUAAUUAUUUUUUCAUUUGUAUUACCAAGUAAUAACAAGUUUUACUUGGUAAUACAAAUCAAUUGGUUGAACAAAAAUAAGCUACUGUAAAAAGUUGAGCGUCACUUUAAUUAUGGAUUCAAAUAAUAAUCUUUGUGUGUUCAUUCAUGUUGAGACAGGAGGAAUCAUUACUAACUAAGAAUAUGAUGAUGAUCAAAUUACUAGGUAUGAAUUUGUUGCCUAGCUGUUGCUUGAAGAGCAGCUCUUCAACGAAGAAUAGCCAAAGGAAGAUCUUUUGGAUGAAAAACUGAACUCCCAAGAUGAAUUCAACAUAUGGCAGAUGCAAGCCUGCAGUCUGUCACACCCCAUCUAAAGAUGUGUAAUUGGAGGAAGAACGCAACAUUUGGCAAAUGCCAAAACCUAUAGUCUUUCCCAACUUAUUUGAAGAUCUGCUUGUGGAGGAUGAACCCAACAUUUGGCAAAUGCCUAAACCUGCGGGCUUGCCACAGCUGCCAACUUCACAAAGUAAUUUGCAUAUCAACGAGCUACGACUACGAGUCAACAUAGUGUGACCGGCAUAUACAGAACUUGCUCCAAAAUUAAAUGAAAAUACUGGUUUUAAUGUGCAAGAAAUUUAUGGAGACUCUCUACCGGAUGCAAACCUUUUCAGGAGGCGUUCUUUUCAUCCAUUUGAUACAAACCUGGGUGAACAAGUUUACGCAGGUCACAACAUGCUGGUCUUCCAAGAAUCAAAAAAUGGAUUCCAUCCUGGCUUUCUUUCCAUUGCCACACUGAUUAGUUGAGCUGUUAAUGUUGAUAGGAUAUUCAUGUUGGACAAGUUUUGUGCCCCUUCGCCCCUAUUUCACCUACAUGUAUAGUUCUAGUGUUGGGAGAACGGUGGAUGAUUUCGAGGUUUAGGAUGAGUUCUGCGCCCUUCUAUCCUCAUUCCAUUGACAUGUAUAGUUUCAGUUUUGAUAGUAGUUUACAGUGGGAUUCUGCCUUUGUGCAUUGAAUAAAUUGAUUGUAUGCCAUCGGUAAACACCUUAAUUCACGAUUUGCCAUCGACAAAGUUCAUUUUCACUAUGUACUAUUGGCAAUUCAAAACUUCUACUCUACGCCA